GGUCGGAUUGGACAGCGGCGGAACAUCCGGUGGGCGGGGCCUAGCGACGGUUAUUGGAGCCGCCAUUUUGAGAAGAGGAGAAGAAACCCAGAGAGAAAUAGAGAAACAGCUGGCUACAUGUAAGGCGUGUGUGUCCCGGACUGUGGAAGCCAUAUAGCAGAGAAGCGGAGGGUGUGUGUCCUGCAGUAGAGGGCGUGAGUGGGUUGCACCAGCUGGGAGCGACCGCCCCGGGAGACAUGGCUGCCUUACAGCAGCAGCAGCAGCAGAGCAACCAGAGCCAGACCUGGAUCGGAAACCAGGCAACACAGGCGGCACAGUGGGCUCAGCAGUACAGCUGUUCCAGCGGCGGGGCGGCCGAAAACUCCGGGAAGCAGGAGAACCCGGAAUGGGAGAAGGCCCGGCAGGCGCUGGCCAGCAUCCACAAAGCCAACGCGCAGUCCGGGACGGGGAGCGGACAGGGAGCCGCACAGAGUCCCCAGUACUUGGCUCAGCACUCGGACCCAGCAGCCAUGCAGCAGUAUUACCAGCAGUGGUACCAGCAGUAUAACUACAACUACUCCUACCCCUACUACAGCCCCUAUCAAAUGAACAUGUAUUCAGGAUACCAGGGUCAGUAUAACGUGCAGGGCUCCUACCCAGGAACACAGCAAGGCCAACAGAUGUCACAGCAUGGCAGUAACCAUACACAGCCUCCUGUCCCAGGCCUGGAAGAGGGACUGCCUUACGCCAGUGGCCCAGCUCAGGGGGCAAGCGGGCAGCAGCAGCAACAGCAGAGCCAGCCGACGCAGAAGCACGCGGCGGGUGGGCUGAACUCCGGCCAGCAGCAGCAGCAGCAACAGCAACAGGCCGGAGCCCAGCAGCAGCAGCAGCAGCAACAGCAGCAGCAGCACCACCCACAGCCGGGCAGCUACUCGGACUCGGGGGGCAAAGGGAAGAAAGGGCAGCAGCUGUGGCAACGCAUGAAACAGGCACCAGGCAGCGGCGGGGUCAAGUUUAACAUCCAGAAGCGGCCGUACGUGGUCAGCGGCCAGGGCUUCGGUGGGCCGGCCCCGGAGCAGGGAGGCCAGCAGUUCCCGGAAUCGGAGAGGUACCAGACCAGCGGCUCCCCGACCAAGCCGGACGAUUGGCCCCAGGCCAUGAAGGAGUACGUGCAGCGCUGCUUCACGGCCUGCGAGACGGAGGUGGACAAGGACCGCACCGAGAAGCUGCUCAAGGACGUGCUGCAAGCCCGACUGCAAGACGGCUCGGCCUACACCAUAGACUGGAGCAGCGAGCCCCUACCCGACCUGAACAAGGACGAGGUGAAGACCACCACCACCACCACCACCCCCCAGAAGAAGAACCGCUGGGAGCUGCCCAGCGUCCAGUCCCACCGGGGGGGUCUGGUGUCCAGCUCCUCCCAGCGAGGCAGCAUGCCAACCGGCUCCGGCCACCGCAACUCCGCCUCGUCCCAGAGGGCGCGGGGCAGCGGCCAGCCCUCCCGCUUUGGCUACCGCAACGUCUUCACCCGUGAGGAGUCCAGCUCCUCGUCCAGCGCCGGCUCUCGCUCCAGAUCAGCCAGCCGAUCCCGCUCCUCAUCCAGAUCACCGCACCGGCACCAUCACCGCAGUGGCUCGAGCUCGGAGUCUGAGAGCAGCUCCUAUUCCAGCAGCGAGACCCGGACCGGGUACAGGAAGCCCCUGCAGAAAGGCCGGGGCCGUGGGCGGGCGGAGCGUAGUCGGGGGCGAGGACGAAUGCAGAGGAACAGACGGGACUUCGACAUGGCAGGAGCUGGCAAGAAGGGCCGCCGGAUGAAGCGGCACAGCCAGUUGGCUUUCGAGGACCCCGAGAAGGAGUUCAAGAAGCAGCGGCGGGCGGCUCGCUUCCAGCACGGGCAGCCCAAGAGGCUGCGGGGCGAGCCCCUGGUCCUCCAAAUCAACAGCUUCGACAGUGGCUCCGAGCCCCUCGACUGGGACCACAUCAAGAUCGUGGGCACCAGCCAGGAGAUCACCAAGCACUACCUGCGCCUCACCUGCGCCCCUGAUCCCUCGACCGUCCGGCCCAUCACGGUUCUCAGGAAGUCUCUGGCCAUGGUGAAGACUCACUGGGCCUCCCACCAAGAUUACGUCUUUGCCUGCGAGCAGCUGAAGUCGAUUCGGCAGGACCUGACGGUUCAAGGGGUGCGGACAGAGUUCACAGUCGAAGUCUACGAGACUCAUGCACGGAUAGCGCUGGAGAAGGGUGACCAUGAAGAGUUUAACCAGUGUCAGACACAGCUGAAGUCGCUGUACGGAGAGAGCCUGCCGGGGAACGUGGGAGAAUUCGCGGCCUACCGGAUCCUCUACUAUAUCUUCACGCAGAACUCGGGAGACAUCACCACGGAGCUGGCCUUCCUCAGCCGGGAGCUGAAGUCGGAGCCGUGCGUGGCACACGCCCUUGCACUGCGGGCAGCUUGGGCCCUCUGCAACUACCACCGCUUCUUCCGGCUCUACAAGGCAGCCCCCCGCAUGUCAGCCCACCUCAUGGACAAGUUUGUGGAGCGCGAGAGGAAGCAGGCUCUGAAAGCCAUGUUAAAAACCGAGCGUUGAGAACCCAAAGAGUGAAAAGAGAUAAAAAGCCCGAGCGACUUGACUGUGCGCCCAGCGAGAGGGGAGUCCGCGCGUCUCACCAGCUUUCUCUGCGGCUGGAGCCAUGAGCGAUGGGACUGUGUCUCUGCACUGAAUCUUGAGCGAACGGAGGCAGAUCUCUUUAUGUCUUGAGCCGAAGUCAAAAGGAUAACAGAAGAGAGGGACUUGGAGUUGUCUUUGUUGAGAAGUUUGAGAGGGAGAUGAGGCCGUGCCAGGAAGAUUAAAUGGUGCAAAAGGGAGCGACGAAAGGUGGUAGUCACAGGAUCGUAUCUCAGACGCCGGGAGUCUGCGGACACCCUCUUCACCGUUUUGCCCACCUUGUGCAUCUCCCCCCCCAUCCCUCCCCCUUCCCCCUCCCACAACCCUUUCCCUCCCUCCUGCCUCCCAAUGGAAUCUGUUACUCUACCCCUACCCUCCCUUGCACUCCCGCCAGGACCAACGCAGCUGCUUUUUGUUUUCGUUUUUAAAACCGCACCAACUCGUCCCUGCCCUCCCCUCCCCACCACCCCACCCCUCAACACCUCGUCACCCCCCCCCCCGCCUCCUCUCCCACCCCCCCUACCCCAACACCAAACCAAUCCUCCAACCUUUUCACAGAAUGAAUAAUGUUUUUGAAUUCCUGUCGCCAAUGUGUGAAAUAAAUCCUUUGAACAGA